rnacentral:rRNA from 1 species
UACGUAGGGGGCGAGCGUUGUCCGGAUUUACUGGGCGUAAAGGGUGAGUAGGCGGUUAUAUAUGUCAGGUGUAAAAAGCUAUGGCUUAACCAUAGUAAGCACUUGAAACUGUAUGACUUGAGUGCAGGAGAGGUAAGCGGAAUUCCUAGUGUAGUGGUGAAAUGCGUAGAUAUUAGGAGGAACACCGGUGGCGAAGGCGGCUUACUGGACUGUAACUGACGCUGAGUCACGAAAGCGUGGGUAGCAAACAGGAUUAGAUACCCCCGUAGUCCCUGAG